rnacentral:rRNA from 1 species
AAAAGAAACUAACAAGGAUUCCCCUAGUAGCGGCGAGCGAAGCGGGAAGAGCCCGGGAUGAAAAGCUCUUCGGAGCGUUGUAGUCGAGCGGCCUCGGGGCGUCAGUGUGGGCAAGUCGCAUGGAAUUGCGCGCCGCGGAGGGUGAGAGCCCCGUCCACCCCACACAGGACCUACCCGCACGGGGCCGUUUCACCCGAGUCGGGUAGCUUGGGAAUGCUGCUCUAAUUGGUGGUAAAUCUCAUCAAAGGCUAAAUAGUGGCGGGAGACCGAUAGCGAACAAGUACCGUGAGGGAAAGAUGACAAGCACUUUGAAAAGAGGGUGAAAAGCACCUGAAACCGUCACGGGGGAAGCGGAUUGCGUGAGUGUUGGGUGCACGUGCUCAGCAUCUCUCUUUUGGGGGGGUGUGUAUUCACGUGCGCCUGCGCCGGCGUGGCUGCGUGCUGGUGGAUUUUGCACCGGCGCGUGGUGAGGGCUCCUGCUUGUCAGUGAGGACGCCGGCGAAAUGACGCAAUACGACCCGUCUUGAAACACGGACCAAGGAGUCUAGCGCGGCUGCGAGUCGAAGGGUGGCAAACCCAAGGGCGCAGUGAAAGCGAAUUUUGUGCAGAACGAAAACAGUUUGGGGCGGCAUAGCGACGUUGUCAACAUGUCCGACCCGGAGCAUGCGCGCUGGGACCCGAAAGAUGGUGAACUAUGCCGGAGUAGGGCAAAGCCAGAGGAAACUCUGGUGGAGGCUCGUAGCGAUGCUGACGUGCAAAUCGCUCGUCAAACUUGGGUAUAGGGGCGAAAGACUAAUCGAACCAUCUAGUAGCUGGUUCCCUCCGAAGUUUCUCUCAGGAUAGCGGGCCGACGAAGUGUUGUUUUGUGCGGUAAAGCGAAUGAUUAGCGCACUCGGGGGCGCAAUGCCUCUGGGCGAUUCUCAAACUUUCAAUGCGCAAGGGCGUCGCUGCUUGGAUGAGCGGCGCCGGUAAAAACGUCGGCCCUGUGGGCCACUUUUGGUAAGCAGAACUGGCGAUACGGGAUGAACCGUAAGCGCGGUUAAGGCGCCGGAUUGCUCGCUUAGAGAACCCACAAAAGGUGGUGAUUCAUCCAGACAGCAGGACGGUGGCCAUGGAAGUCGGAAUCCGCCAAGGAGWGUGUAACAACUCACCUGCCGAAUGAAUUAGCCCUGAAAAUGGAUGGCGCUGAAGCGGGCGUCUGACACCGCGCCGUCGUUUUUAUUUUUUUAAGAAGACGAUGAGUAGGAGGGCGUGACGGUCGUGACGCAGGCAGGGGUGCAGACCCCGCUGAAACGGCCGCUAGUGCAGAUCUUGGUGGUAGUAGCAAAUAUUCAAGCGAGAACCUUGAAGGGCGACGCGGGGAAGGGUUCCACGCGAACAUUGAUUGGGCGUGGGUGAGUCGUUCCUAAGCCGAGUGGCGAUUGCUAAGUAGCGGCGAAAGGGAAGCGGGUUGAUAUUCCCGCACACGGAUGUGGAGGCGGCGACGCAAACUGAGGCGAACACGCUGGCGACGGCGCUGGGCAGAGUUGUCUUUUCUGUUUGACCGCAUGCCGCGCGGUGUGGAAUCCGCUUGUCGGGAGAAACACGCGCGCAGGGGCAGAGCCGGUCGUUUCUUGGCCGGUCCAGCUCGCCGUCGACGGCCCUUGAAACUUUGCCUGCGAUAUAAUUUCACGCCGUGGCGUACCGAUUUCCGCAUCAGGUCCCCAAGGUGAACAGCCUCUGCUCAGUAUGAACAAUGCAGGUAAGGGAAGUCGGCAUAUUGGACCCGUAACUUUGGGAAAAGGGUUGGCUCUAGUGUGGCGUGGGAAUGGGGGCUGUUGGUGGGGCGUCGGGCGGAUGGAGGUGUUAUUGGCGUAAAAACCGGUGACCCACUGUCUGCUCUUCUUCCCCCUUCAGCCCCGCCCACAGCAUGCCACAGACUAGAACUGCAACGGGCAAAGGGAAUCCGACUGUUUAAUUAAAACAAAGCAUUGCGAAGGCCGUGGCCGGUGAUGACGCAAUGUGAUUUCUGCUCAGUGCUCUGAAUGUCAAAGUGAAGAGAUUCAAUCAAGCGCGGGUAAACAGCGGGAGUAACUAUGACUCUCUUAAGGUAGCCAAAUGCCUCGUCAUCUAAUUAGUGACGCGCAUGAAUGGAUUAACGAGAUUCCUACUGUCCCUAUCUGCUUCUAGCGAAACCACAGCCGAGGGAACGGGCUCGGCGGAAUCGGCGGGGAAAGAAGACCCUGUUGAGCUUGACUCUAUUCUAACUUUGUGAAGCAAGUUGGGAGGUGUAGCAUAGGUGGGAGGUUUCGGCCGUCCGUGAAAUACCACUACUCCCAGUCUUGCUUUACUUAUGGCGUGGGGCUGUGCGACCGAAAGGUCUGUUUUAGCACCAAGCGCGACUUUUUUGUCGCGCGAACAGCGCGCCCAACAGAUUUAGGAGGGGAGUUUGGCUGGGGCGGUACAUGGCCUACAAGACAACGGUCGUGUCCAAAGAUGAGCUCAGUGAGAACAGAAAUCUCACGUAGCGCAAAAGGGUAAAAGCUCGUUUGAUUUCGAUUUUCAGUGCGAGUUGAAAACGCGAAAGCGUGGCCUAUCGAUCCUUUUGAGUUUCGAGAUUUGAAGCAAGAGGUGUCAGAAAAGUUACCACAGGGAUAACUGGCUUGUGGCGGCCAAGCGUUCAUAGCGACGUCGCUUUUUGAUCCU